AUGAAUGAGGAAUACGACAUAAUUGUGCUGGGCACCGGCCUGACGGAAUGUAUCCUGUCGGGGAUAAUGUCAGUAAAUGGAAAGAAGGUUCUUCAUAUGGAUCAGAAUCCAUACUAUGGAGGAGAAAGUGCAUCUAUAACACGCUGGAAGAUUUAUACAAAGAUUUAAAUUACCAGGACAAACGCCAGCAUCAAUGGGGAGAGGAAGAGACUGGAAUGUUGACUUAAUUCCCAAGUUCCUUAUGGCCAAUGGUCAGUUGGUGAAGAUGCUGCUUUUCACAGAGGUCACUGGUUACAUGGACUUCAAAGUGAUUGAGGGAAGCUUUGUCUACAAGCGAGGAAAAAUCUACAUGGUUCCUUCCACUGAAGCAGAAGCCCUGCAUCUAGCUUAAUGGGACUGUUUGAGAAAUGCUGCUUCAGGAAGUUCCUGGUUUAUGUUGCCAACUUUGAUGAAAAAGAUCCUAGAACUUUCGAGGGUGUUGAUCCUAAGAAGACCUCCAUGAGAGAUGUGUAUAAGAAGUUUGAUUUGGGCCAAGAUGUUAUAGACUUUACUGGCCAUUCUCUUGCACUGUACAGAACUGAUGACUACUUAGAUCAGCUGUGUUGUGAAACCAUUAAUAGAAUUAAACUUUACAGCGAGUCUUUGGGAAGAUAUGGUAAAAGCCCAUACCUCUAUCAGCUUUAUGGUCUUAGAGAAUUGCUGCAAGGAUUUGCAAGGUUAAGUGCUAUAUAUGGAGGUACCUACAUGUUGAAUAAACCAAUUGAAGAAAUCAUUGUGCAAAAUGGAAAAGUGGUUGGCAUAAUAUCUGAAGGAGAGAUUGCUCGCUGUAAACAGCUCAUCUGUGAUCCCAGCUAUGUAAAAGAUCGGGUUGAACAAGUGGGCCAGGUAACCAGAGUGAUCUGUAUCCUUAGCCACCCUAUCAAGAACACCAACGAUGCUAACUCCUGCCAGAUCACCAUUCCACAGGACCAAGUCAACCGCAAGUCAGAUAUCUAUGUUUGCAUGAUCUUCUUUGCACAUAAUAUGGCAGCACAGGGCAAGUAUAUUGCCAUUGUAAGUACAACCGUGGAGACCAAGGAACCAGAGAAAGAAAUCAGACUGGCUUUGGAGCUCUUGGAACAAACUGAACAGGAAUUUGUCAGCAUCAGUGACCUCUUUGUACCUAAAGAUUUGGAAACAGAUAGUCAGAUCUUCAUUUCUCCCACCUAUGAUGCUACCACACACUUUGAGACAACCUGUGAUGAUGAACCCUGAGGGGAGAGAUUUGAUGAAGACAUCCCAUUUAGGGCUGA